AGGGCCGAACUGCAGGCUAUAAAUAGGCCGUUCUGUGGCGAAGGGCUCGACGCUCUCAAACCCACACAGGCUGUCUCUCCUGUCAACACGUCGAGUUCUCCCGCUCCAGAUCACAGGUGGCCUGAAUCACAGCCAAUCAUCUGCUCCGAAUCCUAAAGCACCUUAUCUGCAGCCUCCAGGUUUCUGGCUCCCUGAAGAUUUCUUGAGCAUUUGAGAGAAGAGAGAGGUGAAGAUGAACACUGCGUUGGUCUGCCUGGUGCUCCUGGCAUCCCUGGGGGUACUGCAUGGAGCCGAGGAGACUGACUAUGGCCAGACU